GAAUUUUAUAUAAUUUUAUUAAUUAUUUAAUAAAAUUAUAUUUAAUUGGGAGGAUUAUUAAAUUUAAUAAACUUUAAUUAAAUUUAUACUUUUUUGAAGAAAUAAAUAAUUAAUAAUUUUUAAUUAAUAAAAAAUUAAUUACCUUAGGGAUAACAGCAUAAUAUUUUUUUAUAGAUCUUAUAUAAAAAAUUGUUUAU
rnacentral:rRNA from 1 species